rnacentral:lncRNA from 1 species
AAAUGGCGAGUUGCUCUAUCUAACUGGUGACUAGUUUCAGUCAUCUACCACCAUGAACAAGACUCUUUCAUAUUAAUAAGUAGAUUUCUUUUUGCAGUUCAAACACUUCACAACCGCAGAUAUCCACACAAUAUCAGGUAAGUUAACUUAACCUCGUCAAAACUAUUCAAUGAAGAACUAUGAUUAAUGAUUAUGAUAUGGACAUUUAUGAAGCUCCCUAGCACAGAUAUACACUUAAGAAAUCAUACAGAAUAUUAAUAUGUGUAUAAUAAUUUUAGAAAAUAGAAAUAAUUUUCUUCACAUGUAUCACUUUGUCGGACACUGAAACAUGUACCAUAUCAACAUUCCUUCAAUUUAAAAUGUCAGUCCUACAUACAUUAAUGUUUUCACUUAAAUAAAUGUUUGUUGAACCUUGACACCAAAAUCAUGUUUGUUUCAUGUUUCAGGCUGCAGAGUGAAACUCGUGUGUAUACAGUAAAUAAAAUGCUAAAUUCAUUCCUGGACAUGGUGUGGCUUAUCGCCUCUGAGCUCAGAUUUCACUUCAAAGGUAACGCAGGGACACAAAUAUCUUUGAGGGACUCGAGUUGUUUAGUCCUUAAAAUUGUAGGACGUUGAGUCACUCAAAAACCUAAAUGAGUCCUUAAAUUAAUCACUAAAAGAUACAACUUAUUAUCAUGAAAAUAUUUGAAAGACGAUACUACUUAUUAUAACAUUAGAGACUAGUCAAUGAUGUUUUGAUGAUUUGAUACUAGUUUUUAGCUGAAUUGAAUCACUAGUUUUAGGAUAGUUUCAGCAAUUUGGUUCAAUGCAAUCAAAUAAAAAUAAAAAGAAUAAGGAGAGUAAAAGAAAAGGAGCAGCUGGGAUUAACAAUUUAGUAAACAAACAUAUAAAGCAACUAGUUGCAUAAACAUAUAGUAUUAGAUACAUAACACAGGAAUUAUAUAGGACAUAAAAUCUUAUAGCUUUUCAAAGCAUACUUAUUUAAGCUCUUUUAACCGGAUCAAAGUUGGCUACUCCAAAAACAGCUCCAAAUAUAGCUGUUAGCACAGCUCCACCAGCAAAAAUGCUUAGUAGAAAGUUCUGAAGAGAUGGUGAGAGAUCAGAUCCAGCUGCAUGAGCCACCUCCGGUAUAACCAUGGAAGCUGUCAAGGAUGCUGCUGUAAGUCCUGUCACUGCCUUCUGUUUCAAAGAUGCAUGAAUUUCAAGCUUGGAUUUUGAAUGUGUGACCCUCUUUGGUUGUUUUACUGGUAACGGCCUGAAAAAUGAUUCAGAUGAUGGCCUUUUCAGACUGUUCUGUGUAGCAGACCUCAGGGGUAAAGCCGUUGCAACAGAAGCAGAAGCCAUUUUUUUUCUUUUGCUCUUGUCUGUU